rnacentral:rRNA from 1 species
AUUGAACGCUGGCGGCAGGCUUAACACAUGCAAGUCGAGCGGAGUUGUGGUGCUUGCACCAUAACUUAGCGGCGGACGGGUGAGUAAUGCUUAGGAAUCUGCCUAUUAGUGGGGGACAACAUUUCGAAAGGAAUGCUAAUACCGCAUACGCCUACGGGGAAGGCAGGGGAGUCUUCGGACCUUGUGCUAAUAGAUGAGCCUAAGUCGGAUUAGCUAGUUGGUGGGGUAAAGGCCUACCAAGGCGACGAUCUGUAGCGGGUCUGAGAGGAUGAUCCGCCACACUGGGACUGAGACACGGCCCAGACUCCUACGGGAGGCAGCAGUGGGGAAUAUUGGACAAUGGGGGCGAACCCUGAUCCAGCCAUGCCGCGUGUGUGAAGAAGGCCUUUUGGUUGUAAAGCACUUUAAGCGAGGAGGAGGCUCCUAUAGUUAAUACCUAUAGAGAGUGGACGUUACUCGCAGAAUAAGCACCGGCUAACUCUGUGCCAG